GCCUGUGUAGCUCAGUGGCAGCACUGGUCUUGUAAGCCAGGGGUCGUGAGUUCAAUCCUCACAGGAGGCG